ACUCGGUUAGCUCGAUCGGUAGAGCGUCAGAUUUUUUAUUUGAGGGACAAAGGUUCAAGUCCCUAUUCGCGCG
rnacentral:tRNA from 1 species